rnacentral:lncRNA from 1 species
GUAUGGUGGAAGCAAGGAAUGCCUGUUUGAGGUCUCACAGGGACUUGUUCUAGUCACUUGCUUAGACACCUUGUCAUCCUGACUUUGUUGGGAGCAUCAGUAGACCUGCCCCUGCCUUCUUCUCAAGGACCCAUGUAGACAGGUCUUCACUUCAAGGCUGUGCUGCCCAGCUCUGAUGUUGGUGGCAUCUGGCAUAAAGAAAGCCUCCUGUGCUCUAUUCCCCUGGAACUCUUUUUUUAAAAAAAGUGUCCUUGAAGGCAGGGAGAUUCUUCCUCCCCUUCCCAGCUCCUAAGGCCCAGUUUACUUUGGUGUUUUUAACCUUCAACCUUAACCAGCCACUGCUGUUUGGAUUUUAGGGACAUAAGGAAGGCCUGUAGGGAGCUUUGACCCUUGCUCCUUUAGCACCUGUUUGUGUCUUGGGUA